GACAGAGGUCUCAAGCGUUAGGCGGAAUCACUGGGCUUAAAGCGUGCGUAGGCGGCUCGUUAAGUGGCUUGUGAAAUCCCACGGCUCACCCGUGGAACUGCUGGGCAUACUGGCGAUCUUGGGCCAACUAGGGGCAACUGGAACAAGCGGUGGAGCGGUGAAAUGCGCAGAUAUCUGGGGGAAGGCCGGCGGCGAAGGCGGGUCUCUGGGCCGAUACUGACGCUGAGGAGCGAAAGCGUGGGGAGCGAACAGG
rnacentral:rRNA from 1 species